AACGAACGCUGGCGGCGCGCCUAAUACAUGCAAGUCGAGCGAGAAGACGUAGCAAUACGUUUGUAAAGCGGCGAACGGGUGAGGAAUACAUGGGUAACCUACCCUAGAGUGGGGAAUAACUAGCCGAAAGGUUAGCUAAUACCGCGUACGCUCCUUGGACUUCGGUUCAGGGAGGAAAGCGAUACCGAGGGUAUCGCGCUCUUGGAUGGGCUCAUGUCCUAUCAGCUUGUUGGNGAGGUAACGGCUCACCAAGGCUUCGACGGGUAGCUGGUCUGAGAGGGCGACCGGCCACACUGGGACUGAGACACGGCCCAGACUCCUACGGGAGGCAGCAGUGGGGAAUCUUGCGCAAUGGGCGAAAGCCUGACGCAGCGACGCCGCGUGAGGGAUGACGGCC
rnacentral:rRNA from 1 species